GUGUUCCACUUUAGUAAUAACUUGUACAGAUGCUAAGGAGGCAGGCUAGGUUCUCUGUCAAGGUAAAUGACUGUUUAUGUGUAAGACAGAGAGCGACUCCUACUUUCCACUGGCACUGGUUAUCUCCUUGGGAACCUUAGCGAGGAAGGACUGUCUGUGUUUACAUGGGCCUCACUCCAUGCAGUUUCCACACCUAGGACCCUGCCUUCAGAUGUGAUGGUGCCAGGGCCUCCUCACCCCACACCAGUCCCAGGGGUAAUGAUGAUGAUGUCUUGUCCUUGACCUUCUUAGUGAAAAUCAAGCUGCUGUUUUCCAUUCAAUGAAACCUGCCUUUUCUGGUUUUGCCAGAAUGAAAGCUGUGAGCUGUGAUGCAUUACUAAAACGGCUGGGACGCUAACCAAGCAGGUGAACUGAAAAGCACAGGCAGAGGAACAGGUGAGCUCUCUUGCCAGCCAUCUGGUGCAUCUGUGAUCUCCAAAAGAGCCGUGCAACAAGUGUCUGAGCUCGCUGUAUGUGACCUGGUACGGCUGCACAGCCAGGAGAAACAAGUAUCCGGCCAUCAGGUGUGAUAGCACGACCUACCCUGUGUGCUCCCCGACUUCUGCUGCUCCGUGUGCCUUCCAGG